ACAGUACAAACUGAGCAGGCGAUGAACGGAGAUCCGUUCGUGGGGCCGGGCCGCUUCGUGCGGCAGCAGGUGAUCAAAACAUCUGUGGGACAGU
rnacentral:ncRNA from 1 species